rnacentral:rRNA from 1 species
CGGAUCAGCCUGGAUCACCCGCCGAACUU